CUUAGCGAGGCCAUGGGGGAAAAAGUCUAACUGGCGGAACUCCUGGGAACUGGGGCGAUGGGCUCUUAGUAUCGGAGGAUUGGAGCCAUCUGAUUUUUACCUGAAAUUCCUUAGUCUCUCCUGUGUUGGGGAAAUGGUCACCUUGCCUUCAGGGACCUGGGCUUUCAGCUGUCCAUACCUGGCCCUGGUUGAUGGCGGCAUGCUGGGCAGUGCACGUGAAGACGCACAUGCGCUGCUGGGUUAGGGUCUCCCCGACUGAGCUGGUCUCGGCAAGUGGUGUCCAUUCGUGGGGGCUCAAAUCCAGGUCGAAGGGUCGCCAGAGCAACAGUUGGAAUGGAAAACCAGCUGGAGGACACAGGAGUACUCUUAAAGCAAUCCCCGUGGCCAAAAUCAACAGCUGAUCUGGAUACCAUCAAUACACCUGAAACCUUAGCAUAAGCCAGAUUACAGGAGGAUCCCGAGGACCCCCCAGUUGCAGCCAUGUCAAGACUGAUGCUGAGGAGGACCCCAAUUGUCACGAGCAACACCCGUCAAACACAGCCACCCACCUGGGGACAGAUCAAGAAGCUGUCACAG
rnacentral:lncRNA from 10 species